AGAUAUCGAAGUAAAUAUACUGAAUCCAUUUAAAUAUCUGAAGUAUGAUAUUUCUCUCCAAUAGAGAAAUAUAAUUGAAGGAAUUUUAAUAAAGAAAAAGCUCUAGAGGUAUGUGGUCUAAAUGGCUGGACUUUUCAAUUUUCUGGGAUCAGAUAUACACAAGUUAAUCACAAAACUGAUGAACCAUUAUGAGUAAAAGAAGAAAAAAUAAGAAUU